AAAACAGAUGCUAAUACCGGAUAAAAGCUACUUUCGCAUGAAAGAAGUUUAAAGGGCGGGCGUAAAGCUGUCGCUAAAGGGAUGGGGACCUGCGAUGCAUUAGCUAGUUGGUAAGGUAACGGGCUUACCAAGGCGAUGAUGCAUAGCCCGAGUUGAGAGACUGAUCGGGCCACAUUGGGGACUGAGACACGGGCCCAAAACUCCUACGGGGAGGCAGCAGUAGGGAAUCUUCCACAAUGGACGAAAGUCUGAUGGAGCAACGCCGCGUGAGUGAAGAAGGUUUUCGGAUCGUAAAAGCUCUGUUGUUGGUGAAGAAGGAUAGAGGUAGUAACUGGCCUUUAUUUGACGGUAAUCAACCAGAAGUCACGGCUAACUACGUGCCAGCAGCCGCGGUAAU
rnacentral:rRNA from 1 species